rnacentral:rRNA from 1 species
UACGUAGGGUGCAAGCGUUAAUCGGAAUUACUGGGCGUAAAGCGUGCGUAGACGGUAGCGUAAGUCGGGUGUGAAAGCCCGGGCUCAACCUGGGAAUUGCAUUCGAGACUGCUCUGCUAGGGUGCGGAAGAGGGAAGCGGAAUUUCCGGUGUAGCGGUGAAAUGCGUAGAUAUCGGAAGGAACACCAGUGGCGAAAGCGGCUUCCUGGUCCAGCACCGACGUCAGGCACGAAAGCGUGGGGAGCAAACAGG